GGGUGAGCUUAAGAUAUAUUCCCUCUAUAUAUAUAUAUAUAUAUAUAUAGUUGUUAGAAGGCUGGAGUAGCCACAAUUGACUUAGCGCAGUUGUCAUGGCAUAGUUAAUUGGUGGACGGUAUCAAACACGAACACACAUGAGACGAUUAAUCAAGAGAAACACAAAAUCAUGCGCACGACCAUCAGAAAUCUUAUCAACGACACAGGAACUGGAACUCGUUUGUUACCAUUAGGCGAUGGCCACAAGGCCCACAUUAAACAGCAGGUGAUGCUAGGUUUUACAUUCAACAAAGCUAUCUUAAUUGCCUUCCUACUCCUCACUUUGCUACCUAGAACUUAGAAGGCUGUUUUUUUUAUAUUUUUAAAAUAGCCCAAAAACGAAUAGCUUCAUUAUAGUAUUAAAAUCGAGGUAAAUAUAUUUUUGUCAAUUAUACUCGACCUCAGUUUAUAAAUAUAUAAUUGAACUGAUUUUUUUUUUCAUUCAACUCAUUGUAUUAUAUUUUUUUAACAAAACAUUACAAAAUCCUUUCAAAUCAUUUGACUUUUAACGACAAAAAAAAAGUUAAUUUUAUUGAACUAACAAGUGGGUUUCCAAGAUUCGUUCAUAAGGCUGUCAUGGUGGAAUUACAAUUAUUAGGUGUGUGAGUGUGGUGUGGGUGAAAAUUAGCAAAAAAAAAAUCUCUCUAAUUUUUUUCAUUUUUUUUUUUUACAUGAGACUGAGAUGUAGAUGGAAUUGUGAAUCGAAAAAGUUGUGGCAUAUUGUAGAUUUGGGUUUCUGGGUUUAGAUUCGCUUUGAUUUGUCGCCGGUUAAUUCAAUCUUUGGGGUUGCGUUUGAGCUUUAGUGAAAUUAUUUAACUUGUUUUCAACAGUUUUUUGGGUUUAUUUGUUAGAAGUUUCUACAUGAUUUUUUGGUGUUAUAUAUCUAUAAAAAUAUUUUUCAAUUUCCUUAUUUAUUUUUUCUAGCUUCCCUUUGUUGACGAGAAAAACUCGCCGGAGCCUGGCAUAGGAUAAUGAAUUGAGAAUAUUCUGCAUAGAAUUCUUUUGAUUUCUUUAAAGAGUAAACAAGGGGAGAGAAAGUUUUGGGAGAGAGAAUUUGUAUAAAAAUUAGGUGUAGAAGUCAAUAAAUAGAAUUCGUGUAAACAAUUUCCCUCUUCUCCGUCUUUUCUCUCCAAUUUUCUCUCUACGUAGCAACAAAAAAAUCCCGUUAAAUUCUCUCGCCCAUCAUUUCCUCUCUCAAUCUUUGUUUUUUCCUCUGUUACGUAGGCUUCCUCUAUUUUCAGGGGUAGGAGAGGGAAAGCAGUAAAACCUUUCUCUCUCUACCUUAUUGAAACCAUGAUUCAAUUCAAUCAAACCUAGAAUGCUUCAUUGAUUGCACAACACCGGUGAUUCCAUCCCGGAAAGUCGGGUUGUUGAUGAAGGAUUAUGAAGAUCGAAAAGGUUUUGAUUAGCGAAUUUAUCACUUGAAAAAAAUAAAGGAGGAAGAUGAAUAUGAAGAAGCAUGCUUUGAUUUGAUUUGGACUUAUUUUUGAUUUUGUUUAUUUUUUGUUUUGUUUUUGAUUUUAUGUUUAGUUAUUAAUUAAUUUGUUGUGUUUUUUAAUUAUUGAAUAUUCACCUAAGCAUAUGAUGUGAGGAAAAAGUUCAAAAAUGUCUUUAACGUUUAACCCGAUAUCCUACUUUCAUCCUUAACUAUUUUUUUUUCUCUAAAAGUACUCUUAAUGUUACAAAUUUAGGAUCAACUGUGCCCCUGCCGUUAACGGACAUGUCACCUAGACUAACGUGGUUGACGUGACUAGACAAAUUUUAGUGACAAGGCAUGAAGAUUGAUUUUUAACUCCUAAUUAAAACAAAUUAAACCACUUAAUUUCAAACUCAUCCGAUCAUCAUUUAGUGUCUGCCAUUUUUUCUCUCUAAACCUAUUCUCUGUAAAUUCGGAUGAAGCUGCUUAGAUCCAGGAUGAACAACCUCCAUGUUUCCAUUAUUACACGAUACAAGAUCAUAUAUUGUAACCCAUUUUCGUCAACAUCACAAUAAUUUGCACUGUAGCCAAAAAAAGUAAAGUUGAAUACUAUUUUUUAACACACAUUAACGACAUCAAAAGAUGCAGCUCAAGCCCAACCAAACUCUUGGCCUAGUUUAUUUUCAAGUUUGAGUGUUUGGGCUUCCAAAUAUUUGGGCCUCGAGCAUGGGCCUACCCUAACAAUAUCCAUACUAAUUAAAUUAAGACUUUACUUUUAAUAGUUAUAAUCCAUAUCAGAACCUGUUUAUUUUUAAACAUGUUGGCAUGAUUUUAAAUUUUGAAUUAUACUGAUAAGUUGGAGCUGGGAAAGUGAAACAAUAAAAUCAGAUAAGCAAAAUUCACUCAAUUUAAGGUUAUAUAUAUAUAUAUAUAUAGCAAAAGGCAAACUUUUUAUUAGACCUGAAAAAACUACUAAGGUGCUGUUUGUUUAUAUCUGAUUGUCUCUUAAUGAACUGUCUCUUAUUCGCUAAGAGGCAUGAUGCUGUUUGUUUUGUUUUUUGUUACCUCUGAAUGCCUCUUAAUCGGUAAGACAGAAAAUGAAAUCUUAAUAAUUAAGAGGUACCUCUUAAUGAUUUUUUUUUGCUAAUUUUUUUUUUAUAUAAAUAUAUUAAACAAUAUUAUGCACUCAUUUUUAUUAAAUUGAAUAUUUAAAAUUAUUAAAUAAAAUUUUAUCCUUUAAAAUGGUAAAAUAGUGUCAUUAAGAGAUAAUUUAUUUUUUAGUUAUCAAACAAUUUUUUAGAUUCAGACCUCAUAACCAUUCAGAUGAUCUAAUUUAUUAAGACAUCAUAAUCAUUCAGAUCUUAAUUCUUAGAUUUAUCAAACACAGCCUAAUUCAAAAGACUUGGGCCUUUAAAUACAAAAAUUGUUGAAAAUAUAGAAAUGACAUAAUUGAGAGGAGCUCCGUACUUGAUAUGCAAAAUAAAAUUAAACCGGCAUAACUUGGCUGGUAUAUAUGAAAGUGGUUAGUAUGAAGUUUAUUUUGAGAUAAUUUGGUCAAUUGACCAAUAGAAUACUGACAUGCAUGUGAGAUUGUAUGUGUGUCAGUAUUCUAUUCGUCAAUUGACCAACUUACCAAAAUAAUAACUUCAUACUAACCAGAUCCGCUAUAUAUAUAUAUAUAUAUAUGAUUUGGAUGCUGCUCGAUCCAACCAAUCUUACACCUAAAGAUUACACAUUUAUAUGCAAUUAAUUAUAUAAUGUUGUAUAUUUCAAGCUGUAUGCAUUAUAUCAUGUCGCACUUUCAUAAGCUGUCCGUGACACAACUAACUGUAUCUUACUAAUUAGAUUCAAUAUUCAAUAUUUGUAAAUCAACUUUUCUUAAAGUCUAAUCUUUUGUUCUUCAUACUUCAGCUAAAAGGCACUUUUAACCUUUCUUUUUCUUUCUACAGGUUACAUGAAAAAACAACUUAAAUCAAACCCAACUAUUCCACAAACAAAAGGAAAGACCAUAUGAUUAUGAUAAAUAAAAUUAAGAACCGAGUAAGAAUUUUUUUUUUAUAUUAUUACCAUAUUCAAGUUAUACAAAUUAAUUGCAUAUAAACCUGAACAAGCUUAAAAUCCUUAGUAAUUUACUAGCAUGGAGUUACCCUUUCAGUUGCUCUCUCUCUCACUGAUCUCUCUCUCUCUCUCUCUCUCUCUCUCUCUCUCUAUAUAUAUAUAUAUAUAUAUAUAUAUAUAUAUAUAGACCACAAUGUUUUAC
rnacentral:lncRNA from 1 species